UCCGAGUUGACCCCGGCAGUCUCCUACGAGUCCCCGGCAUAACCCGCUGGCAACACGCCACGGGGGUUGCGCUCGUUGCGGGACUUAACCCAACACCUCACGGCACGAGCUGACGACAGCCAUGCAGCACCUUAUUCCGAAGAGGAACCGAUGUUUCCACCGGCUUUCCCGUGCAUGUCAAGCCCAGGUAAGGUUCUUCGCGUUGCUUCGAAUUAAACCACAUAAUCCACCGCUUGUGCGGGUCCCCGUCAAUUCCUUUGAGUUUUAACCUUGCGGCCGUACUCCCCAGGCGGUCAACUUCACGCGUUAGCUUCGUUACCAAGGAAUUGCUUCCCCGACAACCAGUUGACAUAGUUUAGGGCGUGGACUAC
rnacentral:misc_RNA from 1 species